rnacentral:rRNA from 1 species
UACGUAGGGGGCAAGCGUUGUCCGGAUUUAUUGGGCGUAAAGAGCGUGUAGGCGGCCUGGCAGGUCUGCUGUGAAAACUCGAGGCUCAACCUCGAGAUGUCGGCGGAAACCGUCUGGCUAGAGUCCGGAAGAGGAGAGUGGAAUUCCUGGUGUAGCGGUGAAAUGCGCAGAUAUCAGGAAGAACACCUAUGGCGAAGGCAGCUCUCUGGGACGGUACUGACGCUGAGACGCGAAAGCGUGGGGAGCGAACAGG